CUGUUAAAGAUCACAGCCCUCGUGGUUCCAGAAGGACCAGGUGGGAGCCUUGGCUCUUCUAAAUUCCUGCCCUAACAAGGACAUUCUGAACAUAUUAGGACACAAGGGACAGACACUUCCCAAAACAAGGCCUUCGUAUAAUCCCUUGACUGGAUUUUCUCCCGCUGUGAUCACACCAUGGAGCCAGAUGAGCAACAUUCUGUGGCCGUGCUCCCUGUAGCUUUUAGUGCCUGGCAAGAUGAAACCAGAGGUUAAAUCCUGUGCUUGCAGUGCAUGGCCUUGACCAGAGUGGAUUUCUGAACUGCCCAUUAGCAAACAAAAGAGCAUUUCACAUGGACAAUGAAGACAAGCCCUUUUCUUGGAAUAGCUCAGAGACAGCCACAGGAGGACCCAGAAACUCAUGGCCCCCAACCACUCGUUCUCCCUUCCGAGAUCUAGAGCUCAUUUCUUUACAUGAAAACAGAAGCAAGCAGAAGGUUUAAUCUGCUUUGAUUAUUGCUCUUUGCACAAAGGGCAGCUCAUCUGAGGGAAAACAAAUGCUACCAGAGUUACCACAGAAGGUGGUGUCCCCUUUCUUUCAGAUCUAAGUCACAAUCAAAUAUACUUUUCAAAGACAGUAAAUAAGACUAAAAAAACUGCUGAUAAGCUCAAUUGGGAGCGUGCCCUGGAAUAAAUAACAAUGUUACUAAGCCAAUAUUUGCUAUCUAAGUCAUUAACUGUGUU